UACGUAGGGGGCUAGCGUUGUCCGGAUUUAUUGGGCGUAAAGCGCGUGUAGGCGGCUUGGUAAGUCCGUUCUGAAAGCCCGGGGCUCAACCCCGGGAGGCGGAUGGAUACUGUCAAGCUUGAGUCCGGAAGAGGCGAGUGGAAUUCCCGGUGUAGCGGUGAAAUGCGCAGAUAUCGGGAGGAACACCAAUGGCGAAGGCAGCUCGCUGGGACGUGACUGACGCUGAGACGCGAAAGCGUGGGGAGCAAACAGG
rnacentral:rRNA from 1 species